rnacentral:rRNA from 1 species
GAUGAACGCUAGCGGCAGGCUUAAUACAUGCAAGUCGAGGGGUAGCAAGAUUGUAGCAAUACAAUUGUUGACGACCGGCAAACGGGUGCGGAACACGUACACAACCUUCCUACAAGUGGGGAAUAGCCCAGAGAAAUUUGGAUUAAUACCCCGUAACAUAGCGAUGUGGCAUCCCUUUGCUAUUAUAGCUUCGGCGCUAGUUGCUGGGUGUGCGGCUGAUUAGAUAGUUGGCGGGGUAACGGCCCACCAAGUCUACGAUCAGUAGCUGAUGUGAGAGCAUGAUCAGCCACACGGGCACUGAGACACGGGCCCGACUCCUACGGGAGGCAGCAGUAAGGAAUAUUGGACAAUGGACGCAAGUCUGAUCCAGCCAUGCCGCGUGAAGGAUUAAGGUCCUCUGGAUUGUAAACUUCUUUUAUAAGGGACGAAAAAAGGUCUUUCUAGAUCGUCUGACGGUACCUUAUGAAUAAGCACCGGCUAACUCCGUGCCAGCCGCCGCGGUAAUAC